CAAAAUAAUUGUAUAAUGUAUAUGUAAUUGUAUAUGUUAUAUUGUUAAAAUUUUUAAAAAGAUUUUAUUUAUUUGACAGGGAGAUACAGCAAGAAAGGGAACACAGGCAGGGGGAGUGGGAGAGGGAGAAGCAGGCUUCCUGCCAAGAAGGUUACCCGAGUUUUCUUGUUUGAGAGACCACCAAGGAAAAAGCACUGAUGCAAUCACACGAGGGUUUAUUUGACAAACUUAAGCUUGGGCCCAAGUAUACCCAACGCAGCGGAGUAGGGACUUGGACCUGAGCUUAGUUAAGGCAGGGCUAUUUAUGGGUUCCUGUUACUAAAGCAGAGUGGGGGUCUCUGGAACUAAAGUAGGGUGGGGCUCCUUAGAACUAAAGUAAAGUAGGGGAAAGUUCAGCCCUUGGGCACAGGGGUCUGAGAUGGCUGUACUUAUGCUAAGGCUAAAGACUGAGGUGGGAUGGCCUUAAUUUUUCUCGGCCUCCACAAAGGGAGUAUGGGGGCACCUGGAUGGCUCAGUGGGUUAAAGCCUCUGCCUUCAGCUCGGGUCAUGAUCCCAGGGUCCUGGAUCGAGCCCCGAAUCCAGCUCUCUGCCCAGCAGGGAGCCUGCCUCCCUGUCAACCCCCUCUCUCUGCUUGCCUCUGCCUACUUGUGGUCUCUGUCAAAUGAAUAAAUUAAAAAAAAAAAAAACCCUUAAAAAAAAAGGAGUACGAUGUGGGGCUCAAUCCCAGGACCCUGGGAUCAUGACCUGAGCCGAAGGCAGAUGCUUAACAACUGAGCCACCCAGGUGCCCCUAAAUGUUUUCUUGAAGAAGAAAACUUCUAUUUUGACUAGAUUGAUGAGAACUGAAACCUACACUUACAAUUUUCUACAUCUGGGGGUUGGAAGGAUUUAUUGACUCCAUUGUUCACAGACUUCUGGUGCUCCGUGCCAUAGGACAUACCAGGUGUGGUGUUGUCUGGGGAUAGGAAUGUUCCUGGAAGUCAUUUCUACAUUAAAUAACUUAACUAUGCAUGAAAGUAAUUCUGAAACCACACCUUUUAAAAUGGUAAAUUCUAUCAUGUUACUGCCCCACUGUCCCAUUGCUCUUAGAGUAAAAUUCAACCUGCCUACUGGAGCCUUGUAUGAUUUUCGCUUUUCCCAUCUCUCCAAACUCAUCUUUCAUAGUCUCUUCUUGCUUUCUCUUGCCUAGCCAUACUGAUCUCAUGUCAGUUUCUGAGUUUUGCAAACUCUGUUUUUCUUGUUCCAGGGCAUUAAGAUUUCUUCUGCUUAACUCGACAUUUUUUUCCUAUUAUGCAUGUGUUUUAAGGUGUACUUAGAUGAUCCCUUUUCAGAGAGGCAUUCCUUCUUUAGUUAUCACAUUCUAGACAAACUUUCUAUGCCUUUACAUAGCAUCCUUUGGAGGUUACUUGUCUUUUAAGUUCUCUAAAUACUUCUUUCCAGAAUGCACAAAUUUUCUCAAUCAGCAUCCCUUGCCUAAUGUUCCAUUUUGUCUGUUAUGGGCCCAUGACAUGUGUGUGUAUGUGUAUAGGUCUGUAUAUGUAUGGGUAUAUAUUUUCUGAAUUUAUAAAAUAGCUGAUGAGAGUCCCACUCUGAAUUCAUCAUUUCCAACUCUUACACUACCAGCUAUUCACUUGUUUGCCCAAGUCAGAAACUCAAGAGUUACCUAGAUUCUCAGUCACCCCUUCCAUCCAAUCUGUCACCAAACUGUGGAUUUCACUGCGGCAACGUCGCUCAGAUCUUCAUUCCCUGUAUGACAUAAUUUCUGACUGGAGUUACUGCAAAUGCCUCAAGGAAGCCGCUUUGCAGCCUCUUUCAUCUUGCUCUACCUCCCUGCCCUCAAAAUAUGCCCACCAGGGGCUCCUGGGUGGCUCAGUGGGUUAAAGCUUCUGCCUUCAGCCUGGGUCCUGGGACGGAGUCCCGCAUCGGGCUCUCUGCUCAGCAGGGAGCCUGCUUCCUCCUCUCUCUCUCUGCCUGCCUCUCUGCCUACUUGUGGUCUCUGUCUGUCAAAUAAAUAAAUAAAAUAUUUAAAAGAAAAUCUGCCCACCAUACUGCUGUCAGAAUGAUCUUUCAAAUAUUCAAAAAGACAAAUUAUGAAAAAUUUAGGACCUAAUUCGCGUCCACGGCUCCUGUGGUCGUUUCCCCGCUAUCGGUUCCCUAACUCCAGCGACCCCACACCAGACAAGCCAUCUUUUCCUUAGCGCUUCCUCCUUCCGGGCUUUCUUGCCCCUGCCAAAUGCAACACACCAGCCGGGCUCUGCUCUGAAAACGACCCCCCAGGCCCAAGGGUCUGUUUAGGCAUCCCUUGUCCUGGGCUGCCAACUUGCACCUGUGCCUCCACCACAGUCCUUAGCACAGCCUACCGGACUGCCCCUAGCUCAGGCUCCCAGCGGGUUUUGAGCCCUGUGAUGGCAGGACUAUCCUGUUCUCCCGUGUAGCGCCCCCAUGUCCCCGCAGCCUACAGCUGGCACCCACACGGGACUCUCCCAGAACAGAGAAAACGUGAAUGAAAGAAAAAGGGUGAAGACUGAAAAUUAAGGAUUCGGAUGGAGUUGCUUCAACUAAUCUUGAUCUUUGGGGACGGCGGUCUGAGGUAAGUAUUCCUGCCUGGUGACCGUUUCUGAGAGCCGGCAUCCCAGCACGGACCGGGCGCCUCAGCGUCGGGCACAGCCGCCCGCCCCGUCGGGGCCGGCCCGCCGCUCUGACGCGGGCGGCACUCAGUCGUCAGCACGCGGGCAGCCUCGCUCACAGAGGCGGCCUCGCUCACAGUCGCUGCCUGGAGCCCGCCGCUCGCCCUCCCCGUCCCGGGCAAGCACGGCCGCCGACUGGGGUCCCGAAGGCUGUUCAUGCGGGCGUGCCCAGUACCGGGCGAGCCUGCCAGCACCUGGGAGAGGCCAUCCCCGGUCUUCUCCGCACGCCGCGCGGCUGCCCGAAGCCCCGCGCCGCUCCCGCGCGCCCAGUACGCCCUGGGAAGCGCGCGCGCUACCGGCUUAACGGUUCUGGCCCCGCGGGCCUGCGGCAGCGCUCGAGGCCAGCCACCCGAGGCCCCGCCCCGCGCCCGCCUCGCACCCCUCGGAGCCACCGUCGGCCCCGCCCCCGCCAUCCCCGCAGCCCUCGGCCUCGAGCAGACGCGCGGCGGGAGCCGUUCCCCGACGGGCAGCGGGGCGCUGGGUCGCCGCGUUUGGGCUGAGCGCGGCGACGCUGCUGCCCCGAAAUCCUCCCCGAUCUUGAGGCGUGUAAGACGAAUGGAAUGCAAGCCUUUUCUCAAGGUCAUAAUGAACAACAGCAACAUCAGUCUCCAGUUAAAAAAGAGAGAAUUAAAUACAGCAGAGAUUUCCUGUUGAAGCUCUCAAGCGUUUCCAUCUGCAGAAAAAAACCAGACUUUCUGCCUGAUCAUCCCAUUGUACUUCAAAAACCAGAAAACCACCAAAGUUUUAAGUAGCAUUUUAAGAACAAAUGAAUUUGAAGAUAAAGAAUUAUUCAUUUUCUAUUUUGGACACCUGCAAAUGAAGUGGAUCUAGUAACAAUAACUGUAAUGGACUGUGACAAUUCAGUUUAUUUUUAAUUUUGAUGGUUGGGUAUUUGGUUUCUCCUAAAAUGAGAAAUAUUUUAAACUAUAAAGAAUUUUCUAAUCAGUUUCAGCUUUGCAGGCAGUUUCCUGCAUAAAUUGGGAAGUAACACUGGAAAGUAAGAAUUUGGUUAGUAGGGAAGGCUGUAUUUAUAAUUUGCAUGCUACUUGCAAUUUUUUGUUUUUCAUCUCUUGUAAUAAUGGAAUGGAAAUGUAAGCUGUAAAGAUUCUCAAAUAUAAAGUAUUUGCUAUGAUGUAUAUAUGGUACAUAAUUUCUUGUUGUUUCUAAAGUUGGCUUUUGUUCUGUUUUCCACUGAUUUCAAACCAGCACUCUCAAAGGAUCUUUACAAUCUCUCCAGAGGCUUAAAUGACCCAGGAUGUUCAAUGCAUAGGUUCUCAAUGACAGGAAGGAGAAUAUUUUAACAGGCAUUUCUUUGGUCUCUAGGUUUUUGAUAAAAUUGUUCAAUAUUCAUGAUUACUAGCAGAGAUGGACAAUUUGGAAACAAGGAAACUCAAGGUGAAAACAGCUGCUACUUGUUGUCUCUAAUCAGACUCCAUGAACAGAAGUUAGGCAAUUGCAAAUUAAUACUGAUUUUUUUUUUUUCCAAAAGAGGAAAGAUUUAGGCAUUUGCAAGUAAUUGAGGUACAUUAAGUUUCAAUUCUUUAAUUUCUUAUGACAAGAACAUGUAUGGAUGAAGAAUUUGGGGGCUAAGCUUUUAGCUCCUAGAAAUUUUAUAUAAUAAAUCUCCUGCAUUUUGUCACUCUGGACAUUACUAUUGAUAAAAAGAGUUUCUUCCUGCAUAGUGUAAAAAAAAAAUUGCUGAUAUAAAGGUAAGUGUAAACUCUCCUUAAUUCUAUUCUCAGAAAUCCCCAGGUCUACAGGCAAGGCAUUCAAGAUCCUCAUUUGGCAGAAAGUUUUAUCAUAAAAUUAUAAUCCUAAAACCAGUAACUUUUUCUUCACUGGUCUUUGGGCUUUUUUACCUGGAUUCAAGCUUUAGUCCAUGGUAGGCUUCCCAUCUUGGUCUUUUAGUACACUACCUUUCAUUACUUCGCUCCCCAAGGGGGAAAAAAUACACUAAAACCAUAAAUUUCUGGAUUACUUAAAAAUGAUACAUUUAAACCUUUAGGGCCCAGAUUUAUUUUUUGUCCUAUUUUCCCUUUAUAUUAUUAUAGGUUCCAGUGUGUAUAUACAUAUAUAUAUACACACACACACAACAAUUUAUGUAUAAUUUGUAUAAGAGCUGAGGUAUUACCAUAAUUAAAUUGGUUUAUUAUUUGCUUGUUCUCAAAGGGGUUUUUUUUUUUUUUUUGACUCUAAUUAAAAAAAUGGUAAUAGAACUUAUUCCAGUUUGGAAUCUAAAGAGCUCUUCCACUCAGCACUGUUAUUGAGGGCAGAAACCUUUUUAAAGUCAUACCACCAUGGUACUUUGCAAACUGCCUCACACUUAAAAGACUUACGUACUUUCUUAAUCUAAUACUGAAAUAUGUUUUGAUUGGCUAUAAUUUGUAUUUUUUGAAACCAUUCAUAACCUUUCAAGAAGUUUUAUGUCAAAAGUCACUGUAUAUAAUCAGAGUGAGACUGCAAAGUCUGUUUUAUUAUCUGUUUGCCUUUGUACAUAUGUAUAGCUUGUCUGAGUAAUCAUUGUACAUCUUCAUUAAUAUUCUCUGCUUUGUAUAUAAAUUAAAAGAGUUGAGCCAGG